rnacentral:rRNA from 1 species
UACGGGGGGGGCAAGCGUUGUUCGGAAUUACUGGGCGUAAAGGGCUCGUAGGUGGCCAACUAAGUCGGACGUGAAAUCCCUCAGCUUAACCGGGGAACUGCGUCUGAUACUGGAUGGCUUGAGUUUGGGAGAGGGAUGCGGAAUUCCAGGUGUAGCGGUGAAAUGCGUAGAUAUCUGGAGGAACACCGGUGGCGAAGGCGGCAUCCUGGACCAACACUGACACUGAGGAGCGAAAGCCAGGGGAGCAAACGGG